GUGUUUUCCCGAAGAAGAAGAAGAGCGAGACUGCGCGGAAGGGGGUUUUUAUAGUGCACCAAAGCGCCGCGAUAGCUCGACUGCUCGUGCAGCUCGCCCGCAGGCUGUAAUUGGCUGCGUGUUGUCCCGCCCCCGCCACGUUCUUCCUGCGCCUGCGCAUAUUCUCUCGCCGAAGCCGAAACCUACGCCGCCUGGAAGGGACUAUAAAAGCUCUGACCGGCGCCUUUCAGGCCUGCUAGAGAUCGUGAGUGCGUGGUGCUGCUCUCUGGCCCAGGUUCCACUGGAUCUGGAGGCGGCCGCCGCUUCGUCCACGAAAAUGGCAGGGUUCGCGUGUCCACUUUUCUCAAAUAAAAUGGUUUAACUUAA